rnacentral:misc_RNA from 1 species
GCAACGAAUAACUUAUGUAGACAUCGGCUCUUUGUUGACCAGUUAAGAAAUAUUUAUUUCUCCAUCUACUGCCACGGUAGCCUAUUGCUUCUACUUAUACCACUGUACCACUCUUCACAGACAAUACUGGCAGCCUUUCCAGCUAAUUAGACCACUGCCAUCAAACCACUAAAUUGCAAAUUUUGACAACCACCUUUUUCUCAGUCACCCAUGUCUGAUUUCUCUCGCUUUUCCCUCCCCCUUCCCAGAAACCAAGCAAAGUUGAUCUCCCCAAGAAGGCCCCACCCUUCUUUAUCUCUGUCUCUUCUCUCCUUCUUAUCUGAUCCAUCGUCUCUGCGUAUCACUCUAUCUUUUCUUCUUUCUUCCUUCCUUUAGCUUGUCACAGAGCUAAAGAAGCUGACAUUAAAGAAGUGAUAUAUUCUUAUUCCCAUUUUCCUGUAUUACAGCAACGAGUAAAAUACUCAGCCUUUGAUACAUAAGAAUUGGUCACCGCACUACCUCAACUGCCCCCUCCAUUCUUUAAUCAAGAAAAUCAAAAUCCUUCCUUUCUGCAUUACAAAUCACACCCACUAGAUUAACCUCAAGAGAGCAACAAUGGAGAAGGGUUUUCUUCCUCUCUUCAUUUUUGCUUUCUUUGUUUCCACUUGCAGUGAGUAUUCUCUCAAAAAUAUAUGAUACGGGUUUUUUGCGUUGUCUUCUUUUUCUCUAAUACAUGUUUCGUUCCUUGCAGGAGCAGAGAUCUCGAACAAGGUGGGAAUCAACUGGGGCGGAUUGGGAAACAAGCUCCCAUCACCUCCGCAGUCAGUGGAGCUCGUCAAAUCUCUCGGAGCCAAACGCGUCAAAAUCUACAAUGCCGACCCAGAUAUCCUUAAUGCCCUCAAGAACACCGACAUCGUAGUCUCCAUCAUGGUGCCAAACGAAAUCAUUGCCAACAUCUCCAAAAGCCAAUAUCUCUCCGAUCAAUGGGUCCAAACCAAUGUUGUGCCUUUCUACCCCGAGGUUAAAAUCCGAUAUCUACUUAUCGGGAACGAAAUCCUCACGAACCCUGAUAUUGGGACAUGGUACAACCUUGUGCCGGCCAUGCGUCGAAUCAAGAGUUCCUUGAAAACCCACAAAAUCCACAAGGUCAAAGUUGGGACCCCAUCGGCAAUGAAUGUCCUGGAAUCGUCAUUCCCACCUUCAAAUGGAACUUUCCGGUCUGAUAUUUCGGAUCCGAUUAUCAAACCAAUGUUGCAGUUUUUAAACCGGACCAAAUCUUUUUUCUUCGUUGACAUCUACCCUUAUUUCGCUUGGGCCGAAAACCCGAAAGACAUCAAUCUCGAUUAUGCUCUUUUCCAGUCCAAGAAUAUAACGUACGCCGACCCGGUCACCAACCUAACCUACACCAACCUCUUUGACCAAAUGAUGGAUGCUCUUGUCUUCGCCAUGAAACGGCUCGGAUACCCGGAUAUCCGGAUUUUCAUUGCGGAAACGGGUUGGCCCAAUAACGGAGAUCUCGACCAAAUCGGUGCCAAUAUUUACAACGCCGCCACUUACACCCGCAACGUGGUAAAAAAGCUCACCAUCAAACCCGCCAUUGGCACCCCUGCCCGACCCGGAUCUGUAGUGCCUUCUUUCAUUUUUGCAUUGUAUAAUGAAAAUCAGAAACCAGGUCCUGGCACCGAGCGGCACUUUGGGUUGCUAUACCCUAACGGUUCAAAAGUGUUCGAGAUCGAUCUUAGUGGAGAAACACCUGAAUCGGAAUAUACAAAGCCGUUACCUGCACCGACAAAUAAUGAACCCUAUAAAGGAAAGGCAUGGUGCGUGGUGGCUGAAGGAGCGAAUAAGACUGCGCUGUUGGAUGCGAUAUCGUACGCAUGCUCGCAGGGGAACAAAACUUGCGAGCAGAUCCAGCCCGGAAACAGGUGUUAUAAACAGGAUUCUUUGAUUUGGCAGGCGAGCUACGCGUUUAGUUCGUAUUGGGCCCAGUUCAUGAAGGCGGGCGGGUCCUGUUAUUUCAACGGGUUAGCAACUCAGACCGCUAAAGAUCCGAGUUUCGGGCACUGCAAAUUUCCAAGUGUGACUCUUCAAGGCUGAAUUCAGCAAGUGAUUUGGGUGCCCAUUUUGCUAUAUUGUUGAGAGCUAAUAAAGUAUAUAAUUACUAAAAUGGGUGCCCAAAUCACUUAGCCUUUUUAGCAUAUGCUAUUUUAUGGCUUAUUCUGGAAGAGGCUAGAGAGAGGAUUUGCAACGGCUACAUGUAUUCACUAUUCAGCUUACUUAGUGUUUUUGAACACAACGGCUAAUUUAUUUUUUAUUUUAUAUUUUAUUAUCAUGUGUAAUGGUUCUCCAUUGGAUCUGACAGUAGCCUUUUUAGCUAUUUGGACCAGUCGUGGGUAUUUAUUCUAUGUUCUUAGAUUUUGCCCAAAAGACGGCAUUGUGGGCUUGAGAAAGAUAGAUCAAUUACCCGUGCUAGUAUAAAUGAAUGAUAAUUCCCAUCAAUUAAUGAAGAUUGUCCAAGUUACGAUAUUAUUUUCAUGGCAAAA